rnacentral:rRNA from 1 species
GGGUUGUGAGGUUAAGCGACUAAGCGUACACGGUGGAUGCCCUGGCAGUCAGAGGCGAUGAAGGACGUGCUAAUCUGCGAUAAGCGUCGGUAAGGUGAUAUGAACCGUUAUAACCGGCGAUUUCCGAAUGGGGAAACCCAGUGUGAUUCGUCACACUAUCAUUAACUGAAUCCAUAGAUUAAUGAGGCGAACCGGGGGAACUGAAACAUCUAAGUACCCCGAGGAAAAGAAAUCAACCGAGAUUCCCCCAGUAGCGGCGAGCGAACGGGGAG